AUUAUUGCGCCACUAUAUGCAUGC
rnacentral:siRNA from 1 species